AAGGUAGAGGUGCAGCUGCGAUAAGUAACCGUACACGGGACGACCGGUCCGAUGGUGUACUGCGAAAGGCAAGGCUGCCGAAGGACGGUUUCUGGUAAAUCCCGUUCUGGCUGUAUAUCGAACAGGUAUGCGGCUGUCAUCAUUCCUUAUGAUGGAGAGCUACUG
rnacentral:ncRNA from 1 species